rnacentral:rRNA from 1 species
GGUUCGAUUCUGGCUCAGAUUGAACGCUGGCGGGAUGCUUUACACAUGCAAGUCGAACGGCAGCACGGACUUCGGUCUGGUGGCGAGUGGCGAACGAGUGAGUAAUGUAUCGGAACGUGCCUAGUAGCGAGAGGAUAACUGCGCGAAAGCGUAGCUAAUACCACAUACGCCCUUCGGGGAAAGCGGGGGACCUUCGGGCCUCGCACUAAUGCAGAGCAGCCGAUAUCGGAUUAGCUAGUUGGUGGGAGUAACGGCUCACCGAGGCGACGAUCCGUAGCUGGUUUGAGAGGACGACCAGCCACACUGGGACUGAGACACGGCCCAGACUCCUACGGGAGGCAACAGUGGGGAAUUUUGGACAAUGGGGGAAACCCUGAUCCAGCCAUCCCGCGUGUGCGAUGAAGGCCUUCGGGUUGUAAAGCACUUUUGGCAGGAAAGAAACGGCACGGGAUAAUACCCCGUGCAGCUGACGGUACCUGCAGAAUAAGCACCGGCCUUUAACUACGUGCCAGCAGCCGCGGUAAUACGGCAGGUGCAAGCGUUAAUCGGAAUUACUGGGCGUAAAGCGUGCCAGGCGGUUCGGAAAAGAAGAUGUAAAAUCCCAGAGCUUAACUUUGGAACUGCAUUUUUAACUACCGAGCUAGAGUGUGUCCAGAGGGAGGUGGAAUUCCCCGCGUGUAGCAGUGAAAUGCGUAGAUAUGCGGAGGAACACCGUUGGCGAAGGCAGCCUCCUGGGAUAACACUGACGCUCAUGCACGAAAGCGUGGGGAGCAAACAGGAUUAGAUACCCUGGUAGUCCACGCCCUAAACGAUGUCAACUAGCUGUUGGGGCCUUCGGGCCUUGGUAGCGCAGCUAACGCGUGAAGUUGACCGCCUGGGGAGAUACGGUCGCAGAUUAAAACUCAAAGUUGACGGGACCCUUUGGCGGUGGAUGAUGUGGAUUAAUUCGAUGCAACGCGAAAAAACCUUCACCUCCCGCCAACAUGUCUGGAAUCCCGAAGAGAUUUGCGGAGUGCUCGCAAGAACCGGAACACAGGUGCUGCACUUCUUCAUCGUCAGCUCGUGUCGUGAGAUGUUGGGUUAAGUCGAUCCGCAACGAAGGCGCAACCCUUGUCAUUAGUUGCUACGAAGGAGCGCUAAUGAGACUGCCGUCGACAAACCGGAGGAAGAGUGGGGAUAAUCUCAGGUCUCAUCAGCCCUUAUGGGUAGGGCUUCACACGUCGUACAAUGGUCGGGACAGAGGGUCAUGUUGGCCCGCGAGGGAGCCAAUCCCAGAAACCCGAUCGUAGUCCGGAUCGCAGUCUACAACUCGACUGCGUGGAGUCGGAAUCGCUAGUAAUCAUGAAUCCAGCAUGUCGCGGUCUGAAUACGUUCCAGGUCUUGUACACACCGCCCGUCACACCAUGGGAGUGGGUUUUACCAGAAGUAGUUAGCCCUAACCGUAAGGAGGCGGUUACCACGGUAGGAUUCAUGACUGGGGUGAAGUCGUAACAAGGUAA